GCACAGCAGAGCUCAGCCACAGGCACUGCUGCUCCUGAGUUCUGCACUGAAGGAUCCUUUCCUUCCCCUUUCUCCUUCCCCUUUUUCUUUCUCCUUCCCCUUUUUCUUUCUCCUUCCCCUUUUUCUUUCUCCUUCCCCUUUUUCUUUCUCCUUCCCCUUUUUCUUUCUCCUUCCCCUUUUUCUUUCUCCUUCCCCUUUUUCUUUCUCCUUCCCCUUUUUCUUUCUCCUUCCCCUUUUUCUUUCUCCUUCCCCUUUUUCUUUCUCCUUCCCCUUUUUCUUUCUCCUUCCCCUUUUUCUUUCUCCUUCCCCUUUUUCUUUCUCCUUCCCCUUUUUCUUUCUCCUUCCCCUUUUUCUUUCUCCUUCCCCUUUUUCUUUCUCCUUCCCCUUUUUCUUUCUCCUUCCCCUUUUUCUUUCUCCUUCCCCUUUUUCUUUCUCCUUCCCCUUUUUCUUUCUCCUUCCCCUUUUUCUUUCUCCUUCCCCUUUUUCUUUCUCCUUCCCCUUUUUCUUUCUCCUUCCCCUUUUUCUUUCUCCUUCCCCUUUUUCUUUCUCCUUCCCCUUUUUCUUUCUCCUUCCCCUUUUUCUUUCUCCUUCCCCUUUUUCUUUCUCCUUCCCCUUUUUCUUUCUCCUUCCCCUUUUUCUUUCUCCUUCCCCUUUUUCUUUCUCCUUCCCAGCAGCCCAGGCUGCCCAGGGCCCCAUCCAACCUGGCCUUGAACACCUUCAGGGAUGGACGGGGCAUCCACAGCCUCUCUGGGCAGCUGUUCCAGCACCUCACCACUCUCUGUAAAGAACUUCCCCUUGAUAUCCAACCUCAAUCUUCCCUCCCCCAACUCCAAACCAUCUCCCCUCGCCCUGCAGUUAUCCACCCUUUCCAAGAGUUGAGUUUCCUUCCCCUUUCCUCCCUCCUUUCCCCUCUUUUUCUCCUUUCCUUCCCCUUUCCCCCCGUUUUUUCCCUUUCCUUUCCCCUCCCCGCAGUGUCGCUCCGCCCAGGGCUGAUCUCCAUGAGCAGCGGCCGCACUCCGCGCUGUG
rnacentral:lncRNA from 1 species